UAAUUACAUAUUUAUAGUUAUAUCAUUUAAAUUAAUAAAUUUUGGACUCAACUAAAAACUAUUAAUAAAUUAAUGACUCAGCUUAAACCUAAUCAAAAUAUGACAAAUAAACAAAAUUACAUAAAAUCAUGGAAAUUAUGACAAAUAAGCUAAAUCACUUUAUAAAUAAUAGUAUAUAUAUAGAUUCUAACUGAGCAAAUCUCUUAUAUAAUAAAGCGCAAGUCGCAUAACCAAUCAAAUUUUAACAUUUGGCAUUUCUUAUAUAUUUUUUAAAAAAAUCAAAUGCAGUAAAUAAAAUUAAAUGAAAGAAAUGCCAAAUGUUAAUCUUUUUUAUAGCAAAUCCUUAAUAUUUCUAACACUACCUCCAUGAUCUCUUCACGAUCUUCAAAACAGUUAAUCUUUUUUAUAGCAAAUUUACUCAACGAUUCUAUAAAAUUCAGAUUCAUCUCUACCUAAAUUUUCCUAAGUAUUUGCAGUAGCUCCACUGAUUCUCUCUAUUUUGUUAAAGUGAUGAAAUUUCAGUUUUUUUUUUUAAUUUCUACUAACUAGAUUUUGACCCGCGCUUUCAAAGCGCGGGAUCGUUUCUUUUAAAAAUUUUAUUUAAAUUAAUAAAUAUUUGUCUAAUCUAUAUUUUAAUAGAUUUUAUAUUUGUUUAUAGUCAAUUAAUAAAUUUAGUGCUGCCUAUUUAUAAUAUCGACCUAAUUUAAAGCGAGAGUCUUCGGUUUGAGGAGAAAGUUGGGGGAUCCUCUCUUUAUUAUAUAAAACUAAUAACUAAAUACAGUUACCAUGAUUUACAUAAUAUAUGGUAACUAAUAUAAAUUCAGUUACCAUGUCAAACAGAAUAUAUAGUAACUAAUAUAAAUUCAGUUACGAAAAUGGAUGUUAUAGAGAAUAUUCUUGGAAUUAAUUUGUUGAAUCCGAAAAUAUAUGAGUUUCCAUUUAUUACUAAUAUAAAUUCAAUUACCAUGUCAAACAUAAUAUAUUCUAUGCGUAGUCAUCAAGGUAAUUUAGUUAAAUCGGAAAAUCUUGUUUCUAUAUAUUAUCUUUUGCAUUUAUUGUAUGUAGCAAUUACGAAAAUAGAUGUUAUAGAAAAUAUUCUUGGAAUUUAUUUGUUUUGAAUCCAAAAAUUUGUGAGUUUCUAUUUAUUAUGUUUUAUAUUUAUAUUUAUAUACCAACUUUGAUAAAUAUCAAUAUUAAAACGUGUUCAUUAUUGGCUGUUUAAAAGGUUAAUAACAUUGAGAACCAAUGAUUUCGAAAUAUGCUAACCAUAUACUAUUGAAAGAAGAAUUCCAUAUAAGACACAAGAAUUAUAAUGAAUAUCCAUAUAUUUGGUUUGUGUUUUUUGGACAACGGGUUUUUGAUGGUGUUAAUAGGGUUUGAAUAGAGUUAGAGUUUCAAUGUAGUCUUAGCGUAUAGGUUAGAACACAAACGAAUAUAGAUAGGUUAGUAAACAUAGACGAAAUGGACUUAAAAACGAUGGAUAAAUUGAUAAAUAUUUUUUAAAUGUAAUAUUUUCAUAAAUUUAAUAUUUUUAAUAGAAAAUUUACAACUUUCUUAAUUGAUUAAUUUUUGUAUGUAGAUUAGUUUGAAUUUUUUUUGCUAUAUUAUAUGUGUUUCCCUUAUAAUGUUAUAUUCUCUAUGUUUUAUUUAGAUUAUUUUUUGGGUAAUGAAAAGAAUGUUAAGGUAUAGAUAUUACAUUUAUUAAAAUAUUGUGAUAUUUUUUUACUUUUUAUUUUAUAACACAAUUUUAAAUUUCAUUUAUACAAAAUUUUCGAGUUGUUAAAGAAAAUUUGUUGCUAUAAUUUAUAAUAAGUCGACUUUAGAACUGAAAUUAAUAAUUUUAUGAAUUUUAUGGGCUUCCAAAUUGAUUUUGUCUCAAAUUAUAUAAAUUGGAAAGAUAUUGUAUUCAUUAAUUUCUGAAAAUCUCUCGAAGCCAAUCAUAACUACUUUUGGAUUUAAGUUACGGUAGUAUAGGAAUAUAAUAUAUUAAUCGAAAUCUGUCUCAAUCAAAUAUAUAUACUUCUGUCCAAGUUAGUAUAUGCAGUGUAGUUAAUAUAUUUUUUGUAGCCCAAGUUAUUCCUUAAUGUUCUAAAGUAUACAUUAAGAAAAUAGUUUAUUCUUUCUUCAAAUUUUAUCAUAUUUUUUAUUUGUUCUAUUUGUUGAGAUUUAUUAGUUCCUAUAAUUACUGAGAAUUGUUACCAUUUAAUUUUUUUUAAUAUAGAUAGAUCUUGAUGAAAUCUCGAUAGAUACAUAAAUACCAAGUUUAAAAAAAAAAUCGAAAUUAAGAAAAUAAUGAAAAAGUGGGUGUGUUUGAGGAUACAUUAUUGUAUGAAUGUAAUAUAAUAUGUAUAACUGUAAGUUAAAAUUCUAUAGUCGUUCAUUAUAUUAUUAUUUGUAUUAUCUAUCUUAUUUGUAUAAUAAUAUGAAUCUAUAAACUUUUGUUAUAUUAUUAUUUGUAUAAGCCUAAGUUUAAAUCAUUACACAUGCAUGUUUAUAUAAUUGAUAGUUUGUGCAUCUGUUAGGAUUUAGGUGAAACGCAAGUUCAGAGUUAUAUUUUGUAGUUUACGUUAUGUAUAGUAUAAGUUAUUUUUUUGGUUUAACAUAGAUAGAAAUGAUAUAGGGUAUCAGACCGAGUCUAUAUGUUGACUUAGAUUUUGUAUUAUCUAUCUAGGUACGAAAUAGGAUUAUUCCUGACUGAAUGAGCCUAACAAAACGUAAAUGUAAGUAGAAAAUAGGUUGGGCUUUUUUUUGUCAAUCGAAUAACACUGAAAAUAAUUUAAAUAGGAAAUGGAAUGUUUUAUAAUUAAUAAGAAAUUUCAGGGGUAGAUUCAUAAUAAGUAUUCUGCUUUAAUAGUAUAGAUGGUAUCAACACUCUCGAGACUACAAAUAUCUGGCUAAACAUUUGCACAACAAAUAAUUUUUGAGAAAGAACAAGUAAAAACAAAAUUUUCCAUAGCAAAGCUUCCCGCAAGGUUGAUCGAUAAUUUCCUGGUAAUAACUCCCAGACUCUUUAUGAGUCAAAUCAUAGUUUUUCAUUUUUUUUUUUUGUGAAUCUUUUUCUUUUUUUUUGCUAAAUUAUAAAUAUCAUUAAUGAAAAUGAAGGUUUGGUUACAAGUUUAACUUGAAACCACAAUCUGCUCAAGAGCUGAUUUGAUCCUAGAAACCGCAAAAAAAAUUAAAAAACCUCUAGGAUACACAAGGAUCAAUUUCAAACUUCUAACAAGAGAACUUGAAAUCAAUAGUCAAUAAGAUCAAGUAUAACAACAAUAUAAUUACCCUAAUCAAAGCACUUCUUGCUGCAUCUGAAACAAAUCGGAGGAAGCAAGAGUAUAGCCGGGGGAAGUUUAGUCGAAAACUCACCGAAGUGGCUCCAAGCAGGCAUCGACGGAGGCGCCUGGCUUACGCCCCGGAGCUCCGCUGGAGGAGGACGUCAACCAACAAAUCCUAACUAUCUCGGCUGGGAGACAAAAGUUAGUUUUCUCGGCUAACUUAUUUUAUAAUUAUUUUAUUUUAUUUUGUUUUGAAGAAUUUUCGAAGGACUAAAUUAGUUUUCAAUUUGCUGGCACAUGAUUCUUCGUUGUGGUCGUGGUAAUUCAUGGAAGGGAAGAACGAAGAUCAACAUAAGAAGCAACUCAAGAAAAAACAAUAUGUUGUGAUAACAAGAAGAUAGAAAAUGGGGAUUAAGAAAAUCAAGUGGUAGAAGAAACGAGGACUCAUGUCUACCUCUGUAUCAAGAUCUAACUUCAGGCCGGUUAAAAACCUGACGGAGAUAUGUCCGAAUACGUUUCAGUUAAUGGGGUUCCGGAUCUUCGAUUGUCGUGUUGGUUUACGAUGUGAUAUCAUAUCGCCGUCGUGGCGACGCCGCAGUGGACACACAAGAAAAUGAAGAAGACAAAGAAGAGGAUGAGAGACAGAGCAAAUCAAGGAUUAUCAAUUAACAGAAACGGUUAACAGAUUCGCUGGAGUUGUGUGGGGACACAAGGAGAGAUCGAAGAGGAAGAGGACAGAUGAAGGAGGAGAUGGUGAGAAGUGGAGGAAGAGAGUGUGAGCUGUAGCUUCUGAGAUUAUAUCUUUUGCCGAGAGAGUAAUGGGGAUGGAGAAGAAGAAGAAGAUGGAGUUUGCUAAAGAGACUGAUGAGUGGAUAUCAUAAUUUCACUUGUGGUCCCAUCCACAACUCUAUUCCAACCAUUGAUGAGUAACUAAAUUCCUGUUGAUCGCUUGUUGUUCAAGUGUUUUACUUUGCUUUGUGUAAGAAGCUGAGAGAGAGUUCUUGUUUGUUUCUCAGGUUUCAAUGUUGAAACUGUGAAAUACAAGUUAAAUUCCGGUUACAAGUUUGAUUCAACCAAAAGUUUUCUAAUUCAAA